rnacentral:lncRNA from 1 species
GGGGUCUGGGCGAGAGGGUGGGAGGCACAAAGGCGGUCCCUCGAGACUGCUGAACGUGGAGGGGGUGGGCCGAGCCGGGUAACAACGCUCCUCUCCAAGCCACCUCCGGCCGGUCUCUUAGGAGCAAUCGCGUUUGGUCUGUUCCCAAGGAACGCAAGGAAGCGGAAAGAAGAAAAGGGUCUCUCCUUGGCGAGCUAGCCGGCCGACUGGAGAAGUGCGGUACGCCCACUGCCUUGGCCCCAACGACUACACCUGUGAAGGAGGAUUCCUGAGGCUUCGGAUGGGUGCCCUUGCUGAGAUCCGUCGGGAGUACUGCUCCGGGUGCAGGGAUUUAUCAAGGUCUGGAAAUGUCAAAAGCGAUGUAGCACCCAGGAGGUCUUCAGCGAAACACAUGCAAGCUGUCUUCUACAUGAUCUAGAACAAACCAAUCAGCUAUGUGAACUCACUGGCUUUAAUCAGAGCUGCAUUUUGGAAGUACGAGAAAGACACUGUUGCCAGAUGCCCAUCUAGGCUCCAGGCACUUGACAUAACAAAAUUAAAUAAA